CUGCACAUUAUGCAACCACACCACGUGAGGAGCAUUAGAUGAUGACCUAUGUGAGCUCAUGCUUGGCUCAAAGCCACUAUUGUCUGUAAAAGGUAUAAUUACCCCGGUAAUGCUGCACAUAUGGCUCACUUGCACCCAGAGAGAGAGUAAAGCCAUGUCAAAACUGUCUACAAUUCCUCGAGUGUUUUUCCUGCUACCUGCCACUCACCCACCAACUCCCCUUGGACCUCAGUUAGAACCUGAGAAUUGGCAUAUCAAAUAGGAUCCUGAGAGUUGGAUGGGCAUUUUUGACUGCACUAGAAGAACUACACUUCCAGUCUCUGAGGGAUGCAGCACGUUGGUUGCAGGUGAGCGGGCAGUUGGCACAAGGGCAAGGUGACCACACCCUGAUUGAGUGGCUAUGGGCAGCCAUACGGACUAUGUGGGACGACACUGGUGAAAUACCUGAAACUAUUUAGAAGUGGUGGCAUCCCUCUUGUGGCGACAUUUGGCAGCAUGCAGUUGGGCCGUCAACAAAUCUAAGGUCCAAGGGCCUGCUUCAUUUGUCAAAUUCUUGGGAGUUAUCUGGUCGGGGUGGCUGACCAACAGAACACCAUCCAGGCCCUGAAAUACUUAUGUCCCCUGUAUGGUCACCCUCUGGCCGUUGAGACUGAGAGGAGAACACAUUUCACUGGAUGACACCUACAACACUUGGCAUAACAAAUGGACAUAAAGUGGAGAUUCCGUGUGCCAUACAACCUGCAAGCUGCAGGUAUGAUUGGGCAAUAUAAUGGGCUCUUGAAGAAUGGGUUAUACUUGCAUGUCACACUCCUGUCUUUGUGGGGCUGGAGUUCCAGGCUGGACCUGGUGCUCUAAACCUCGAAUGAAUGGCCACGGAAAGGCAGCCUGGCCCUGGUGGAGGCUUUCUUACAACAGGCUGCCACCCCCAUUCAGUUGUAGAUACACACUAAGGAUGACCUCCUCCAACCAGGUAUGGCGAUGAAUGGUAACCUGUUGUUACCUGACCUAGUGCACCUGAAGGCAGGGGAAUAGAAAACCUGGUUGUGGCCAUGGACCCUCCAAGCACCCCAUUGCCAGUGGUUGGUCAUUGUAGCUCCCUGGGGGAAAGGCCUACAGUAUGACUUGCAUGUUACUCCUUGGGUGUUCAAUACACGGCCCCCAUGGUUGACUGCUCAUAGGGGAAUGGCCAGGGAAAGAGCCCUCCUCUGGGGGACACAUGUACUGUCCGUGUGGCCUAUUAUGAGCUCCCCUCUGACUUUGGCACAGAUACAGCACCCAAAGGAACCACGGGGAGCUGAGAAGGUGUGGUACGACUGCCCAGGGCAGAAGCCCUUGGCAGCUGCAUUGUUAUCCCGGGACAAAAAGUUAGCUUCUAUGUUGCCUGAGGGACAUGAUCUACCUUUGUUAGUACUUGUGCCUGCUCUGUCGUUUUGACCGUAGGUUAACAUGCUCCAACUGCAUUGUGGACUGGGCCCACACCUAUGCUGAGAUGACCAAUGUUUCCAGCUGUUGGUUCUGUACCACCCUUCCAGCAGCAGCUGUGCCUUGGCACAUGCAUUCAGCAUCUGCAGAGAACUGGACAUGGCUGGAGACUUGGGGUUCCAUAACAAUGCCUGGAACAUGAUGCAGCAAGCUUUGGACAAAGGACACUGCAAGACCCACAGCACGCCUGCCCCCUGGCUGGCCCAUAGUGUUUAUGAUGGGUGGGGCUGGCUCGUGGGGGAACAUGUAGUACCCCCAGCCCAAGCACCGCAGUGCAUAGAGCAACACUGUGGUAACACCACUGUGUGGGAUGGAUACCCAUCGCAGCCUGUGUAAACAUAACACAUGUCAUCACACUGAACAUAUGGUGGAACAAGCAGUCCCACCAAGGUUGGUCCCUGAUGGAUUUUGUGCCCCCUUAGGAGUUUAUGGGUCUGUGAGGACACAGGGUGGCCUUACCUACCAGCAGACGUUGUACCUGGGGGUGACCUUAUGUACCUGCCACUGUUCUCCUCAUGUUGCCCAGAUGCCUGCAUAAAUGGGAGGUGCUAUGCUCUCAGCUUCUGCGAUUGUGAUGAGCCCCCUGGUGGUUCUACCCCUUGACAAUGACUAUCCCUGGAGCAGGUGUCAUAACUGUAGAAGUACAAGUUACUGUUCUUGCACAGCACACCACUCAGGUUCUGAAUUCCACCUGAGUGGCACUCCUCCUGUUAACGGAUGAGGUUGAUUAGAUCAGAAAGGUGGUGUUGCAAAACUAAAUGGCCUUAAACAUAGUAACUGCUGCCUAAGGAGGCACCUGUGCCCUUUUAGGAACACAAUGUUUUACCUUUAUCCCUAACAAUCAGCAGAACAUAAUAGCAGCCCUGCGAGUGGGUCAUGGGAGAUUAAGGCAGUCAAGAGCCUUGCUGAUGAACCCCUGCAGAGAGGGUGGGCAUCCCUAGGCUCUGGCCUAUGCUGGGCCCUAAUAGUCAUGAGUGGCAUAGCUGGGAUCCUAGUAGUGAGCUGUUCCUCUCUGUAUUGUUGUUGUGAGUUAUGGAUUCAGGACUCUGCCCUAUGGGUAUGUGUUCCUGCCCAGAGGGUGCCCCUGGCCUAGAGCGUGGAAAGUAAGGGAAAUGGCUGUGCUUUAGUCAGGAGUAGGCUGGGGUAGACUUCCAGCGCAGCAUGACUCAGCAGGUUUGGAGUGCAGGUGCACAACCCCGCACAUUUAUGUAACCAUGUCACGUGAGUCACAUUAGGUGAUCAACCACAUGAGCUCGUGCUUGGCUUGGAGCCACUAUUGUCUGUAAAAGGUAUAAUUACCCUGCUAAUGCUCUACAUAUGGCUUGCUCAUGCCCAGAGAGAGAGUAAAGCCAUGUUGAAACUGUCUACAAUUCCUUGAGUGUUUUUCCAGCUACCCGCCACUCACCCACUGACUCCCCUCGGACCUCAGUUAGAACCUGACAAUAGCUUUUAAAGAUAUAAUGAGAUUGCAUACUUAAUAGACUACAGUAUAGAAUAAAGAUAACUUUUAUAUGCAUUGGGAAAACAAAACAAAUCCUAUGGUUCACUUUAUUGCAACAUUUGCUUCACUGGGGUGGUCUGAAACCGAACCUGCAGUAUCUCUGAGGUAUGCCUGUAUAUGCCCUCACAGCAACCAAUAUGUACUACAUAUUAUAGCAUUUGUCAUAUAUAGUUACAACUGACUGCUUCUCUGUCUCCAUUAUCAUACUUGAUGUCCCUGGAUUGUAAGAGCUAUAUAUUUCCCCAGCAGUUUUCCUAUUGUACAUUACAGUGAAAUUUUACUGUACAAAUAAAUGAAUAACUACAUAUAAAGGUCUUUUUUCAAUGCCUAGGAAAGAGUAGGGGGUCAAUAUAUUUCAAUUCUUUAUCAAUUUUCUCAGUCUGUAGUGAAGAUGAUGGUGUUACAAUCUCCUAGUAGAGUUCCCUCUGCUUUUUAUUUUGACCUUUUGCAUGAAGUACCAGGCCAUUAGGUGAAUCUUUUUUACUUAGAUCUAAGCCAAUUUUUACUGCUGAGUUUCAGAACCCAAACCCCAAUAAUCUCCUCAUAAUAGGAGAUUAAGUCCCGAUUUCCAUUUCUGGGCCUUCUUUUAAAAAGUGAACACUAGAGAAAAACGUCCAUAACAAUAGUUCAAGACACAUUCUUCAGACACCACAAUGCCAUGAUGAUGUGGGUAAAUGAGAUUCUUCCAAUAAACAUGCUCAUGGCUAGAUAUUUGUUAAAUUUAAAAUAUUUUCCAGGCUGGGUGCAGUGGCUCAUUGUUGCAAUCUCAGCACUUUGGGAGGCUGAGGCAGGCAAAUUGCUUGAGCUCAGGAGUCUGAGACUAGCCUGGCUAACAUGGUGAGACCCUGUCUCUACAAAAAAUACAAAAAUUAGCUGGGCAUCAUGGUGCAUGCCUGCAGUCCCAGCUAUGUGGGAGGCAGAGGUAGGAAGAUUACCUGAGCCUGGGAGGUCGAGGCUGCAGUGAGCCAUGAUUGCACCAUUGCACUCCAGCCUGGGAGACAGAUCCACUUAAAGAUCCACUAACUUGCAGAGGUUUUCCAUAAAGAUACAUGAUAUCUGGUAUUUCACACCUAUUCAUAACUAGAAUAUGAGUCUGUAUCUUUCAGUGUUUCUUUUUUUCCUUUUGAGACAGGAUCUCACUCUUUUACCCAGGCUGGAGUGCAGUGGCAUGAUCUGGGUUCGCUGCAACCUUAACUUCUCCAGG
rnacentral:lncRNA from 10 species